AGUUUGACUGGGGCGGUCGCCUCCUAAAGCGUAACGGAGGCGCGCGAAGGUUGGCUCAGAGCGGUCGGAAAUCGCUCGUUGAGUGCAAUGGCAGAAGCCAGCCUGACUGCAAGACUGACAAGUCGAGCAGAGUCGAAAGACGGCCAUAGUGAUCCGGUGGUCCCAAGUGGGAGGGCCAUCGCUCAACGGAUAAAAGGUACGCCGGGGAUAACAGGCUGAUACUGCCCAAGAGUCCAUAUCGACGGCAGUGUUUGGCACCUCGAUGUCGGCUCAUCUCAUCCUGGGGCUGUAGCCGGUCCCAAGGGUAUGGCUGUUCGCCAUUUAAAGUGGUACGCGAGCUGGGUUUAGAACGUCGUGAGACAGUUCGGUCCCUAUC
rnacentral:rRNA from 13 species